UACGUAGGUGGCAAGCGUUGUCCGGAAUUAUUGGGCGUAAAGCGCGCGCAGGCGGUCCUUUAAGUCUGAUGUGAAAGCCCACGGCUCAACCGUGGAGGGUCAUUGGAAACUGGGGGACUUGAGUGCAGAAGAGGAGAGUGGAAUUCCACGUGUAGCGGUGAAAUGCGUAGAGAUGUGGAGGAACACCAAUAGCGAAGGCAGCUCGCUGGGACGGUACUGACACUAAGGCGCGAAAGCGUGGGGAGCGAACAGG
rnacentral:rRNA from 1 species